CACCCACCUCUCCUCCUCUUUCUCCAGAAGAAAAGAAGCGAAAGCUGUAGUAGUCUCGUCACCUGCACACAGACCGCUCGUGAGGCGAGAGAGGGGCAGGGGCCGAGGCCACCAAACCAAAAAGGAAAAGAAUUUUUCUUCUUGGAGAAGAACACCCACACAUACGCAUCGAGGUGGGAGGCGGGGGCAUACAUGCGAGGGUGGAAGGGAACCCUAGUCAAACAGAGACGGAUCUGCCCUCCUCCUCCUCCGCCGCCGACGCCGACAACGAUCGCCUGAUAGAAGGCUUGGACAGUCAUUUAUACUACUGGUAAACUGUUUAGGAGUUUGAUUGAUUUUUUGGAUUAAAUGGCAAAUCUACACAAAGAGGAAUCAAGCCAGGGUUGGAGAAGAAGCUGAAUAUAAAAAGAGGAGCAGGGAGGCAUGCGUAAGUAGAGAAGCAGGGGCACGGUAAGAAGAAGAACCGGGAUUGUGGUGGCGGUGGCUCUGAAGCAUGAGGUAGCAGAAGGUGGAUGAGGAUAAGAGGAACUGGGGAAUAGUGAGGACUGCCAGAGGGUGGGGGAGAAUAGAAGGCAACUGGAGGCAGCGCUGCCAGAGGCUGAAAUAAUUUUAGGUGGCGGUGAAGCAGGAGGGAGGAGAUGGUGGUGGAGAAUAAGAGGAACAAGAAGCAAUGAUGGUGCCAGUAUAGCUUUGAUUUCUUGUUAUAUAAGAAGGUCAAUAAUAGUUCUCUUCAAGUAGGUGCUAUUGCCCUAGAAGAUUGUUACUGAAUCCACCAGUUAAAUAUUCAAGUUAUAUGCAUAUACACAUGACAUGGGGUCUCGUGGAAGGAUGUUAUUUGACCUCAAUGAGCUCCCAACAGAAGCUGACGAAGAAGAAGCUGCUAUUGUUGUGUCCCAACCUCAACUUCCUGUUCCCAAUAUGUAUCCCUCUAAUUUGUUUCCACCACAAGAAGCGCCUUGGUCGCAAGGGAUAUUGAACAACCAUGCCUUUAAUCAUGCAUCUUCUGGUUCAGGUUUUCAACCUUUUGUGAGAAGUACAGAUUCACAAAAUGUGAAGUAUUCAAUGAAUACUGAAGAGAAUAUGGAUGCUACUGCCGCUUCUACAUCUUUGUCUGAUAGUGUUGCACACUGUACGGGGCCCUCCAACCAGGGUCCACAAUCAGUUGAAAGAGAAGAGGGAGAGUGGUCUGAUGCAGAUGGUGCUUCUGACACCGCAGGAAGCAGUGUCAGCAACAGAGAAGAAUCUGCUGGUACUGCAGGUACUCAAGUGAAAAGAGAAUCCCAAGAGAGUGGACCUCUUAUUGUUAAAUCUAGUGAUGUGGUUAAAUAUGACAUUGCUGCUGAACCUAGUGACACUGAAAUGGCUGAUGUGUCUAAAGUUCCAGCGCUUCGUGGUCCGACAGGAGUUGAGAGCAUGAAACUUUUUGAAUCUAAAGGAAAUCAACCUGGGGAUGAUAUGGACCAGUGCAAUAAGUCAAAGGAUGUCCGAGGAGUAGAAGCCAGUUAUGCAUUGAAGUGCACGAACAACCCUGCAAAGAGACCUAAGUUAGAUGAACACAAAGUUGCAAUGCUUGGUAAAAAGCGAGCCAGGCAGACUGUGUUCAUCAAUGUUGAGGAUGCAAAACAAGCUGGCACAAUGAAGACAAUUACACCAAGGAGACAGUCAUCUUUUCCAGCACCAAUUGUUACACGUACCGUGAAGGAAGCUACUCGUGGUGUUGGUGAAAGAGCUGCAGACAAGCAGAGUCAGCCAGUCAUCAGGGAUCAGAGACAAUCCGAGACGAUUGGUUCAGAAAGAAGUAAUUCUGCUGAUCCUUGUGAUCAAAAUGGAGAAUCUAAUGGUGAUAUUGAGUUGGGAUCUCAUGGCAGGUCAAAGAAAAUGAAUGCUGAAGACCCGCCCUCAGAUUGUAAUCAACAAUCUGUCCCAAGGCAGCCUUUUCCAAAGCAGCCCACAGAUUCCAAGCAGUUCAAGGGCAGACCAGUCUCUUCUCAGAGAGCAGUUCUAACAGGACAAAAUACUGCAGAUCAGAAGCCAAUCAACAAAAGGUCUCUUGUUCCAAAAAAGCAAGCUUCAGUUAAUAACACACAGUAUAAUGACACAUCUGUUGAGCGACUUAUACGGGAAGUGACAAAUGGCAAGUUCUGGCACAAUCCGGAGGAGGAAGAACUUCAGUGUGUUCCUGGAAGCUUUGAUUCUGCUGAGGAGUACAUUAGAGUGUUUGAGCCUUUGCUUUUUGAGGAAUGCAGAGCUCAGCUAUAUAGUUCCUAUGAGGAGAGUCUUGAGGCUGUAUCAAGGGACGCACAUGUAAUGGUGCGCUUGAAAAGUGUGGAUAGGCGCGAAAGAGGAUGGUAUGAUGUUGUUGUUUUGCCAAUAAAUGAAUAUAAAUGGACUUUCAAAGAAGGUGAAGUUGCAAUUUUGUCUUCCCCCCGGCCUGGUUCAGCUGCCCAAUCAAGUAGAUCUAAUAGGAAGGCCGCUGCUUCAAAUGAAGAUGCUGAAGCUGACUGUGGACGGCUUGUAGGUACAGUCAGACGCCAUAUGCCUAUUGAUACGCGUGAUCCCAUUGGCGCAAUUAUCCAUUUUUAUGCUGGGGAUUCAUUUGAUUGUAGCAGUGAGACUAGUGUUCUGAGGAAACUGCAACCUCGAAGCACAUGGUACCUAACGGGUCUUGGUUCUCUUGCAACAACACAAAGGGAAUAUGUAGCAUUGCAUGCAUUCCGCCGUCUUAAUGUGCAGAUGCAAAACGCAAUUCUUCAACCAAGUCCAGAGCACUUCCCAAAAUAUCAAGAGCAGCCGCCUGCUAUGCCUGACUGUUUCACUCCAAGUUUUUCUGAUCAUCUCAAUCGUACUUUCAAUGGGCCUCAACUAUCAGCGAUUCAUUGGGCUGCAAUGCACACAGCUGCUGGCACAAGCAAUGGAGUGGUUAAGAAACAAGAACCAUGGCCUUUCACAUUGGUACAAGGUCCUCCAGGGACAGGGAAAACCCAUACUGUGUGGGGAAUGUUAAAUGUUAUUCACCUUGUUCAGUAUCAACAUUACUAUGCUGCUCUGCUAAAGAAACUUGCUCCUGAAAGUUACAAGCAAGUUGGUAGUACCACUAACAGCAGCUCAGAGGCUUUUGCCGCGGGGUCUAUUGAUGAAGUUCUGCAGAGCAUGGAUCAGAACCUGUUCCGCACUCUUCCCAAGCUUUGUCCCAAACCACGGAUGCUUGUGUGUGCCCCGUCAAAUGCUGCAACAGAUGAGCUGCUUUCUCGUGUUCUUGACCGAGGUUUCAUAGAUGGCGAGAUGAAGGUUUACCGCCCUGAUGUUGCUCGUGUUGGAGUUGACACACAGUCUCGUGCUGCCCAAGCUGUAUCAGUUGAGCGACGAACGGAACAGCUUUUGAUGAAGGGCCGCGAUGAAGUAAUAGGGUGGUUGCAGCAGCUAAAAGGCCGCGAGCAGCAGUUAUCACAUGAGAUAGGGCUUCUACAGAGGGAACUUAAUAUCGUUGCAGCAGCUGGUAGAUCCCAUGGUUCAGUUGGGGUAGAUCCUGAUGUGCUUGCUCACAGGGAUCGUAACCGUGACAUUCUGCUUCAAAAACUUGCUGCCUCUGUGGAAAGCAGGGAUAAAGUACUUGUAGAGAUGUCAAGGCUGCUGAUAUUAGAAAGCAGGUUCCGUGUUGGCAGUAACUUCAAUCUGGAAGAUGCUAGGUCUAGUCUGGAAGCCAGUUUUGCCAACGAAGCAGAAAUUGUUUUUACAACAGUGUCAAGCAGUGGGCGCAAGUUAUUUUCUCGCCUUAGUCAUGGUUUUGAUAUGGUUGUUAUCGAUGAGGCAGCUCAGGCCAGUGAAGUAGGAGUCCUCCCUCCACUUGCACUUGGUGCCGCUAGAUGUGUCUUGGUAGGUGAUCCGCAGCAGCUCCCUGCCACUGUUAUUAGUAAAGCGGCUGGAACUUUACUCUAUAGCAGGAGCCUUUUUGAGAGGUUUCAGCAGGCUGGUUGCCCUACCAUUUUGUUGUCAGUGCAAUAUCGGAUGCAUCCCCAGAUCCGAGAGUUUCCAUCACGAUACUUCUAUCAAGGCUGCCUUACAGACAGUGAAAGCGUUGUCAAACUGCCUGAUGAGGUGUAUUACAAAGAUGCAUUAAUGGCACCUUACAUUUUUUAUGACAUCUCACAUGGUCGUGAGUCUCAUAGAGGGGGAUCAUCUUCAUACCAGAAUGUUCAUGAAGCUCAGUUUGCAUUGCGUUUAUAUGAGCAUCUUCAGAAACUUGUGAAAGUUAAUGGUGGUAAGAAGGCAUCUGUUGGUAUAAUCACUCCAUAUAAGUUGCAGUUGAAGUGUCUUCAGCGGGAAUUUGAGGAGGUCAUGAAUACUGAGGAAGGGAAAGAUAUCUACAUAAAUACAGUAGAUGCUUUUCAAGGCCAGGAGCGUGAUGUGAUUAUCAUGUCAUGUGUCCGUGCUUCAAAUCAUGGUGUGGGUUUUGUUGCAGAUAUACGGCGCAUGAAUGUUGCUCUUACUCGAGCUAGGAGAGCUCUAUGGGUUGUUGGUAAUGCCAGUGCUCUCAUGCAGUCAGAGGACUGGGCGGCGCUGGUAGCAGACGCAAAGGCCAGGAAAUGCUUCAUGGACUUGGAUAGCAUCCCCAAGGACUUUCUGGCCAUGAAGAUCUCUUCCAACACUCCAGGAAGGAAUUCUUCAAACAACAUUAGGAACUUGAGGACAGGUGGACCAAGACCUAGGCAUCUGGACAUGCUUCAGGACCCCAGGGUUGGCAUGAAGGCCGAUGAGGAAGAGCGUGCUAACUCUGUUCCAAGAAAUGCCAGUUACCGGAAUUUGGAUGACCUGGGACGCUCUGGUGAUAGAUCUAGAGAAAGUUUACAGUUUGGAGUGGCCAGGAGGCCGAAUUCAUCUAAUGGUUCUAGGCGAGAAGUCUGAAGACAAUGCAUUGCUAUCUUCAUCUUUGCGUGUGCGUCACCUAUUGAAAGAUGUACACCCUUGGUGGGUUUUGUUAAGGAGAAGGAAUUGCUAUUGACACAACGAGAGGAUUCCUCGUGAAAUGGGUAGGCGUUUGGAUGGCAUGUUGCAACAAUAGGCCAUUGACGGCAGGCCAAUCAGAUCAUCAGAUGGCGCUCUGUUGGGCGGUUCAGAUUAUGGAACAAAGAAAGACUGCCUCAGGUCCAUAGUCUACUGCAAUUGUGCAGAACACAUUCGGUCUGAUUAUAUAACUAGACUUCCACAAGGCUGCAGCUGGAUGGUUUCUUUCUGGGAUUGCAAUACUUGCUUUAGUGCUUAACAGGAUACUGUCUUUCUCAUAGAUAUAAAUACAUGCGCAUGGGCAUUUCCAUUUUGAGACAUGCCAGUAGAGAUAAAUCUCACUGGCCCUAGAGCAGGGUAUACCUGAUGAUGUUCCACAAUCUGUCCUGAGGAUCUUUAAAACACUGAGGACACAUCUUAGGCCCUGAUUGGAUUGUUGUUUUUCAUCGCUUUACACCUGUAAAAGAUACAAACCUCCUGUAAAUUAAAUACCGGUGUAGAAAAAUACACGGAUUUCAAGCGGAGUCUUAGCGUGGAAUGCUGCUGCUUCGGUGGUGGUCCUGUGAAGUGUCAGGUUAGCAUAAGGUGGCCCUUAUUAUUUUUUGUCUGAAUCAUAUUUGCUUGUUCGGAAUUUCGCAGGCCUGUGUUGUACUGUACUGCUCUUGCUCUUGGUCUUUCUUCUUGGUCUUGUACUGUACUGUAUCACAACCUGUCCUGCAGAAUUUCAGAAUGCUGAGGGCUAUGACUUCGGUCCUGGCCGGAUGCUGCUGGACGGUGGUGGUCAAUGAAGAUCUCAGGGUGUUUCCUGUUCAGUUGGUUUUGAUCCUGUUGAUGAAAAGAGUACUUUGCCAGCUUGGUGUGAUGCAUGAAUGCCCCCAGGAAUACCUUACGUCCAAGCUGGAGUGCUUUUCUUGUACUUGAAGUCAAACAUGCUGCAAAUUGUGAUUAUAUCAAUUCGCGAUGUAACACGGAUUAUGAAUAUUUUUUUGACGAAAGGAUCUGAUACUAGAA